rnacentral:lncRNA from 1 species
UCAAUCUAUAGCAAAUUAUAAUUCACACCUUUAAGGUGUCCGAACCUUAUUUUUGCUGGGCCAUAAUUUACAGGUUCCAUGCAGUAGCUAAGUUAAACGCAAGAGAUACUUGAAGUGAAAUUUGUAAGAAAAAGUGCACUUGGCAUCUUUAUGGUACCAUUCUGCCAUCGACUUUACUAGGUCAAUGGUGCAGCUAAAGUAAAUGCAGGAGAUGCUUUAAUUUCAAUCUGUAGAUAGCUGCAGUUAGUACCUGAACCUCAGCCUUAGCACCUGAACCUGGGCCAUAGAGUUUUACUGGGUCCUUGCUACAGCUAAACUCAAUACAUCAGGUGCUUGAAUUUCCAUCUGGAGAAAAUUGCAAUUAGGACCUGAACCCUGUUCUUGCUGGGCCCUACUGGGUCCGUGCUGCAGCUAAUCUAAAGGCAUGAGAUGCUUGAAUUUGAAUCUGCAGGAAAUUGCAGUUGAUACCUUUAUGGUAAAACAGUCAUAAUCCUCAUAAAGGAUUACUGGCAUCAGGCUGUAGCUAAACAAAAUAACUCACAUUUCCCCCCAAAGCUAGAAGAAGGAGAGACCAUGGAAGCCGCCCGGAAGCUGAAAGAAGCCUCUUCUGAUAUCUACAGGACUUCCACAGUAUGCCCUUCGCUUGGGACUGCAAAUCCAGUGAGCCAACAAAGNUUCUGAAGACUUUCAUGAGCAUCUAUCAACACUUGAACCUCAGCAUCGUCGUUGGAGCUCNGGAAGAUGAAGAUGCAUCACCAUGGCCCCUUAAUAAUGUAGUUCCCACUCCAUAGNAGCAUAAAUUUAUUCUUUAUGGGUCACAGUAAUUCCUGGACCCAGACUGGCAACUGAGAGAUGUUGCAAUGGUCUCCAGUUUUGAGUAAUAGAGCCUAAGGAACCUGGCAGGGAUGACUUUAGAUAUUGAAAAUUAAGCACAGUUGGUGACGUAACCCUAACCCUGUGCCAUAGAUUUAUUUCAUCCGUGUUGCAGCUGAACUCAAUGCCGUGUAUGCAUGAAUUGGAAUUUGCUGGAAGCUGUAACUGGCAUCUUUAUGGUGCCUGGACUUCUUUAUUCCUGCUGGGCCAUCAAAUUUACUAGGUCCUUGCUGCAUCUAAGCUAAAUGCCUGAGAUGCUUGAAUUUUAAUCUGAAAGAAUUGCAUUUCACACCUUUAUGGUG